rnacentral:sRNA from 1 species
UGAAAGGGUUACUUUUGGCCACAGUUCGCUUAGAAUUUUGUAAAAAUGGGACAUAAAUCGUUAGCUGAGAAUAUUAGCUUCUCAAAGCAGUCUGCACAACGUUCUGCGAUGUUAUUCAUAGUAAUUCAUAGCACGAAUUCAUCGCGAAAAAACAAUCACCGUGAAGUCAAAGGAACUGAGGUUUGCCAAUCCAUUUACUUCGAUUCAUUCGCCCCUGAUCCAUGGAAACUCUUUGAAACUAAGUACUUAAUGCUGCCUGGCAGGCAAACUAACGCAAUCUCGACACGAGCAAAGCUAAA